UCCUACGGGAGGCUGCAGUGGGGAAUAUUGGACAAUGGGCGAAAGCCUGAUCCAGCAAUACCGCGUGUGUGAAGAAGGCCUGAGGGUUGUAAAGCACUUUCAAUGGGAAGGAAUACCUAUCGGUUAAUACCCGAUAGACUGACAUUACCCAUACAAGAAGCACCGGCUAACUCCGUGCCAGCAGCCGCGGUAAUACGGAGGGUGCAAGCGUUGAUCGGAAUUACUGGGCGUAAAGCGUGCGUAGGCGGUGAUUUAAGUCAGAUGUGAAAGCCCCGGGCUUAACCUUGGAACUGCAUUUGAUACGGGGUCACUAGAGUUUAGUAGAGGAGAGUGGAAUUUCAGGUGUAGCGGUGAAAUGCGUAGAGAUCUGAAGGAACACCAGUGGCGAAGGCGGCUCUCUGGACUCAAACUGACGCUGAGGUACGAAAGCGUGGGUAGCAAACAGGAUUAGAUACCCUUGUAGUCGC
rnacentral:rRNA from 1 species